rnacentral:misc_RNA from 1 species
AUCCCAUCCGAAGGAUGUGGAUUACAAAAACUGAGAAUAAAGAGCAGGAGAACAUCCUAUAGAUAACAGUACCGGCAUUUCCUGAAGCUAAUGUAUUUCUCAAGUGUUGCAACAGUUGCAGCAUUUGUUCAAUUGUGCGAUUCCUGAGUCCAGAAUGGUAUGAUCGAGUAAGCACGACGCAAGAACACAGCUAAUUCAUUUGGAGCUCUCAGAUCCUCCAAUCUUUGUGGAAUAUAUAUAUACACACUCCCUGGUUUAUAGUUUAGGUAAUAUCGUCAUCAGUGCCAACUCUUUUGUUUAUAAAUGCGCCCAUAAUUGACAACUUCUUAAAUAGUCGAUGGCGACAACAACGUCAUCAAUUGAGGGAUAACCUCACAGUCGAUUUAUUCAUAUACAAAUAUUUAACUCUGGAGAAGGGAAAUCAUUCAACAAUUGUGUUUGUUGCAGCUUCCUAUAUUCUCUACAACUCUCACUUUCCUCCCUUUCCUGUACAAGUAAUAAAAUUUCUGGUGAUUUAUGCCCAACGCGAACUCGCAGAGUGGUGCAAUUUCCAAGUCUUACGCGUAUAAAAAUUUGCAUCUCAAACAGCUAAAGUACAGGCAAAAACUGAUUUUUUGAACACAA